CACAGCCAGCCGGUUCGGGAGCCGGGGCUCAGCCUCCCCCGCCCCCGCGCUGCGGCCUGACUCCUCCCCGGGGCUCGACCUCGCGGCCAGGCCGCUUUGCCCUCCAUCCCAACCCUUCCUUGGCUGCUCAGCAGUAGAAGUCGCCUCUGGGACCCCUGAAGGCUGCUGUGCCUCCCUCCUUGCACCUCCCUCCUGGCCUGUCCUGUUCCCUGCGGGGUCCCUGCAGGCGCUGCGGCACAACAGAGCCCAGAGGGUCCCAGCUCUGCCUCCAGGUAGACCAGGCCAGUGCCCUCUGGCGUUCAGCUGGGACCAUAGGACCCAGCAGUAUGGAAAUGAGAUGAAAAUAUGAAAAGUUGAUUUUAUCACCCAAACUCCUGAAGCAUCUUUGUGAUUGUGCUAAAGGAUUUGUUUUUAUCUUGAAAUGAUGUUUAUCCUUAAAAAGGGUUGAUUGAAAAUACAGCGACUGUAUCACAAAUUCCACUUAGUUAAUACCACAAAGAGUUCUCAAGGCUCAGGCCAUUUCCUAUGGCAGGUUGUACACGGGUGUGGACACAACACAGCAGAGUUCACCAAUGCUUCGCCCCUCCUGUUUCGACUUCCGUCGUGUCCUAGUUCGCACUGAGGUAAGUGUGUGCCUUCCCGAAGACUAGAUUUCGCCUUCGACAACUGAACUGUUUCAGAUCUGGCCUGGUCAACUGCUUUCGGUCAUUCCUGAUUGUACCUUUUUUUUUUUUUUUUUUUGGUACCGGGGAUCGAACUCCGGUCCUUGGGCUUUGGAGGCAGGCGGCAGAACCAGAGCUAAAUCCCUGGCUCUCCUGAUUGUUACUUUGUCUGUUACUACUGCCUCAUCCUGGAAACCAGUCAACCACAAGACUAAACAGCAUAAUUUGUCCAGAAUACUUUUGUUUAAAAGUAACAAAAGCACAGAUACUUGGAAAAGUGAAGAAUCAAGAAGGAAAGAAGGGAGCAAACUCGGGACCUUGCGCUUUCCAGGCAGGUGUCAAGUGCUGCUGCUAAGCUACAUCACCAGCCCCUCCUCUGUUUUGAUUUUCUUCUUCACCUUUUGGGAGUUUUAACUGUUGUGUCAACUUGAGUAAGAAACGUCCAACUAAACGGAGUUAGCACAGUUCUGGCUGUGGCUGAGGGGAUUUACUGAAGACAGAAGACCCCCUGGUGUGAGUGACAGCAACCAGCGGGCUGGCUGCCUGCGGGGAAUGAAAGGGAGAUGAAGCAGGAAGGCUCAGUGCUGUUCCGGCCUGCACCUUCACCGUGGAUGGCGUCUCCUGGCUUCCAGCGCAGACCCUUUGACCUCCUCAUACGGACUUGCACGAACACCACACAAAGCUCCAGGCCUUUGACCUGAUCCUUCACAUCUCCAGGGCACAGACAGCCCUUUGCCCUUUGCCCUUUGCCCUCUUCCACACCUGACCCUGCGGUGGCCACUGUAAGCCAAGCUUGUAAAUCUUUGCGUAUUUAUAAACCUUAUAUUAACCCUGUUUCUCUAGUGAGCACUGACGGAUACAUCCCUCUAGUGAUGGCAGCAUUCCAGUUGAUUGAACUCAGUCGUAGUUAAUACUUUUAGAUCCAUAAUAUCGAUUCUCUAUUUCUGCUUCUAUAAUGGACAUGAAGAAAAAAGAUUUUUUUUUAACAGCAAAAGUUUCAUCCCAAUGAACAGAGAAAUAGAUGAGUUAGUCUUAUUUGCAUGGGUGUUCAUGGCAAGCUAAGGGAAGCAAGUCCUCCUCUUCUUAGAAUCCACUUUAACAGACAUUUCUUGAACGUCUACUAGAUCUGUGUGAAGCUCUGAAAAAUUGAGCUUGCUAAUUUGUUGAAUAGAGAAAAUAAAUUUCAUCACAAUUUUUUCUUUAUUAUUAAUACUGGAACACCUGUGAAAUACUUGGAACUGUCCAGAGCUGAUGUUACGCUUAUAUGGCAGCCUAGUGCCAAGCAUUCUGCAUAUAUUUCGAUCCCAACAAAAUAGUUUCAAAGAAAAUAAAC
ensembl:lncRNA